UGGCUCUCGCAUCGAUGGAGAACGCAGCGAAAUGCGAUACGUAAUGUGAAUUGCAGAAUUCAGUGAAUCAUCGAAUCUUUGAACGCAUAUUGCACUCUCUGGUACUCCGGGGAGUAUGCCUGUUUCAGUAUUAGAAAAACCAUCGAAAUCUUUCUUGCUUUUUUUAAGUGAGACGGAAUCGGAUCUGGGUAUUGUGCGUGCAUGGACACUCUCGUAGUGACCAAAAGUCGUACUGGCCUGAAAUGCAAUCGUGGGUAGUAAUCCAGAUUUUCACCCUUGGCCUUGGAGAAGGCGUCAUAGUUGACCGAUGGUCAUCUUUCGCUGAACUUCUUGGCUAAAAAGGGACUGGGACUUGUCCGCGCGGGUGGCUCCCUUUUUUUGGGCGCAACCGGAAACAACUUUUUUUCAAUUUAAUCUGAAAUCAGGUAGGAAUACCCGCUGA
rnacentral:misc_RNA from 1 species